rnacentral:rRNA from 1 species
UAGGGAAUCUUCGGCAAUGGACGAAAGUCUGACCGCGCAACGCCGCGUGAGUGAAGAAGGUUUUCGGAUCGUAAAACUCUGUUGUUAGAGAAGAACGUUGUGUAGAGUGGAGAAUUACACAUGUGACGGUAUCUAACCAGAAAGGGACGGCUAACUACGUGCCAGCAGCCGCGGUAAUACGUAGGUCCCGAGCGUUGUCCGGAUUUAUUGGGCGUAAAGCGAGCGCAGGUGGUUUAAUAAGUCGGAUGUAAAAGGCGGUGGCUCAACCAUUGGGGGCAUUGUAAACUGUUAGACUUGAGUGCAGUAGAGGAAAGUGGAAUUCCAUGUGUAGCGGUGAAAUGCGUAGAUAUAUGGAGGAACACCGGUGGCGAAAGCGGCUCUCUGGCCUGUAACUGACACUGAGGCUCGAAAGCGUGGGGAGCAAACA